GGGGCUGUAGCUCAGUUGGAAGAGCGCUUGAAUGGCAUUCAAGAGGUCGGGAGUUCGACUCUCCUCAGCUCCACCA
rnacentral:tRNA from 1 species